CCUACGGGUGGCAGCAGUGAGGAAUAUUGGUCAAUGGACGAGAGUCUGAACCAGCCAAGUAGCGUGAAGGAUGACUGCCCUAUGGGUUGUAAACCUCUUUUAUAAGGGAAGAAUAAAUGCUACGUGUAGCAUGAUGCCUGUACCUUAUGAAUAAGGAUCGGCUAACUCCGUGCCAGCAGCCGCGGUAAUACGGAGGAUCCGAGCGUUAUCCGGAUUUAUUGGGUUUAAAGGGAGCGUAGAUGGGUUGUUAAGUCAGUUGUGAAAGUUUGCGGCUCAACCGUAAAAUUGCAAUUGAUACUGGCCGCCUUGAGGACAGUUGGGGUAGGCGGAAUUCGUGGUGUAGCGGUGAAAUGCUUAGAUAUCACGAAGAACUCCGAUUGCGAAGGCAGCCUACUAAACUGCCACUGACAUUGAUGCUCGAAAGUGUGGGUAUCAAACAGGAUUAGAUACCCUUGUAGUC
rnacentral:rRNA from 1 species